rnacentral:tRNA from 1 species
AGUCUUAUAUUCAUUUGUGUAAUGAUAUUAAAUUGCAAAUUUAAUGGAGAAUAAAAAAAUUCUAAGACUU